rnacentral:lncRNA from 1 species
UAGAGCGCUGAGUUAUAAACAUGAGUUUAGGACGAAAUGAGAUUUCUGCGCCAGAGGGGAAACCGUUCCUCUGACGAUUCUUUCCGCUGCUCUGGCAUUCGAUUCCUCUGGCGUCUUGUUUUCGCCGCUCUGAUUAGUGAUUCCUCUGCUCUGGCAGGGAAAUCACCUUUCCUCCGCUGACACUGCGGACAGAACUCGAGAGAAGGCUGCUGUUAUUUUUUUUAUUUUUUUAUUUUUUAUUUUUUUUUUAUAUUUUUUCGAAUGAAGGUGACGUAAGUACAAGAGUUAUGACAUCGAUUAGCAAAAUCGAGAGAAGAAAUUCGAUAGUUGAGUAAUCACUGAUAGAUCCUUUAGACGUUAGAAAUGAUGUUUAUUUAAGUUUUCCCUAUCUCGGGGAGCUGAUGUCGUUCCCCUACACGGUGAACCCAGUUAUUACCUUUGAUGACCUUGAGGUUGGAAAGCCCCAACGAGGAUGGAAUAGAUGUAAGCUUUGUCCGUGACAAAGUAGUGGCAGAGAAUUCAUU